UACAGAGGUCUCAAGCGUUGUUCGGAUUCAUUGGGCGUAAAGGGUGCGUAGGUGGCGCUGUAAGUCGGGUGUGAAAUUUCGGAGCUUAACUCCGAAACUGCAUUCGAUACUGCGGUGCUUGAGGACUGGAGAGGAGACUGGAAUUCAUGGUGUAGCAGUGAAAUGCGUAGAGAUCAUGAGGAACACCAGUGGCGAAGGCGGCCAACUGGUCCGGUACUGACGCUGAGGUGCGAAAGCGUGGGGAGCAAACAGG
rnacentral:rRNA from 1 species